rnacentral:lncRNA from 1 species
AUCAGGCUCUUCUGCUUCCCGGCCCCGCAGCUCCCUUCCCUUCUCGCUUGCCUCUCUGGAUGCUUUCUCAGAAGCUGGACUCCCCGUCCCUCUCCCUGGCUGGUCCAGAGCCCUUUACUGCUGAGGCAGCACAGUUCCCGUCAACUGGGUUGUUUUACCAAGUGUCUUCAGAGGGGAUGAGUUAGAGUGCUGGCCUGGGGAGAGGGUGCCUCCCCAGGUUUGAUCUGUAGGGUCCAGCUUUCUGCAGGGAAGAUGUUUUACAGAUGUGUCAAGCUGAUGUUGUAAUGUGGUUGGGGAAGGAACUCCAGACCCAACGUGUUUGCCAGCUGGGUACGCGCAACUCUGGGAUCCUCGGUCUUAAAAUGAUUUUUCUCUUUGUACUGGGAAACAAGUCAUGCUGUCACCAAGCUGAAGAAAAACCCACUGUGGCUGCUGGUUCUGAAUCGCAGAAAUCAGAUGAGUCCAGGUGUCCAUGGCAGAGUGAAUGGACCAGAGGCGAGACAGUGGCGAGAGAAGCUGGCUGCACACGAUUCAGAUGCCAUCACGGUGCCACCUCCCCUUUGGAUGUCCUCGAUUCUCACGGGAGGUCAGCCAGGCCCCUGCUGGCCCACGGGAGCCAGCUGCCACUGAUGAGGGCCACUCUCGGCACUCAGCCCAGCGCAAGUUUGAGCUAAGUCAUUCUGUGUUCAUAGUUUUUUGUAAUUUCUUUUUUAUCUACACACAAGUUUUAUAUAAAUGUAUAAAUAGAACUACCUCUUGGGGCGCUUGGGUGGCGCAGUCAGUUGAGCAUCCAACUCAUGAUUUCGGUUCAGGUCUGAUCUCGGGGUCGUGGGAUCAAGCCCCACGUCAGGCUCCCCGCUCAGUGCAGAAUCUGCUUGAGAUCCUCUCCCCGUCUCCCCCUGCCACUCCCACUCAUGCUCUCUCUCUCUUCCUCUCUAAAAUAAAUAAAUCUUUAAAAAAAAAACUAUUUCUUACAUGCUGCUUCUUGUCCUGUCUUACUUUCCUGCGUUGCUUGUUGCAGACUUCUCCCUCCCCCACAUUGCUCACCCCCUUCCUGUGUGUCUUUCCACGGUUUACUCCGUGCUCUCUAAUCAUAAUCAUAAAUCAAGAUUUUUGUCAUGGCUUUAUCAAAAAUGCAAUCAUAUUACAGGCACUCAUUUGUUGUUUUGCUUACUCAGUACAUCCCAGAGUUCUCUUCAAGUCAGCUGGCGUAGCUCUAAUCCUUUCUUUUUAAUGGCUGAUAUUCCAUAGUGUGGGUACGCCAUUUAUUCCACUGUUCUCUUAUUGAAGCUGGGUCGCAUCCUGCUCAAAGAUUAUUUGGAUUAUAAGUCAAGAAGUUCGGAGUUAGUUUUAAAAACACUUGUUUUUCAAAAUGUAUAUUCAUCUUUCUUUGCUCCGCUAAUGUAUGUUCUUCAAAAAUUCAAAACUCAGGGGCACCUGAGUGGUUCAGUCAGGUAAGUGUCUGCCUUUGGCUCAGGUCACGAUCCCAGGGUCUGGGAUCGAGCCCCACAUAGGGCUCUUUGCUCAGCGGGGAUCCUGCUUCUCCCUCUGCCUGCAACUCCCCCUGCUUGUGCACACACUCUCUCUCAGAUGAAUAAAUAAAAUCUUUUAAAAUUUUUUUCA